rnacentral:rRNA from 1 species
CCCUUAGAUGUCCUGGGCUGCACGCGCGCUACACUGACGAACUCAACGAGCUUAUCACCUUGGCAGAGAUGUCUGAGUAAUCUUUUGAAAGUUCGUCGUGCUGGGGAUAGAUGAUUGUAAUUAUUCGUCUUGAACGAGGAAUUCCUAGUAAGUGUGAGUCAUCAGCUCGCGCUGAUUACGUCCCUGCCCUUUGUACACACCGCCCGUCGCUCCUACCGAUUGAAUGGUCCGGUGAGGUUCUCGGAUUUUUUCUGUUGUUUGGUUCGCUAAACGAUUGAAGAGAGAAGUUACCCAAACCUUACCACUUAGAGGAAGGAGAAGUCGUAACA